UCUCCGUUGGUGAACCAGCGGAGGGAUCAUUACCGAGUUUACAACUCCCAAACCCAAUGUGAACGUUACCAAACUGUUGCCUCGGCGGGAUCUCUGCCCCGGGUGCGUCGCAGCCCCGGACCAAGGCGCCCGCCGGAGGACCAACCAAAACUCUUUUGUAUACCCCCUCGCGGGUUUUUUAUAUCUGAGCCAUCUCGGCGCCUCUCGUAGGCGUUUCGAAAAUGAAUCAAAACUUUCAACAACGGAUCUCUUGGUUCUGGCAUCGAUGAAGAACGCAGCGAAAUGCGAUAAGUAAUGUGAAUUGCAGAAUUCAGUGAAUCAUCGAAUCUUUGAACGCACAUUGCGCCCGCCAGUAUUCUGGCGGGCAUGCCUGUCCGAGCGUCAUUUCAACCCUCGAACCCCUCCGGGGGGUCGGCGUUGGGGAUCGGCCCUUUACGGGGCCGGCCCCGAAAUACAGUGGCGGUCUCGCCGCAGCCUCUCCUGCGCAGUAGUUUGCACACUCGCAUCGGGAGCGCGGCGCGUCCAUUGCCGUAAAACACCCAACUUUCUGAAAUGUUGACCCGGAUCAGGUAGGAAUACCCGCUGAA
rnacentral:rRNA from 1 species